UACGAGAGGCCCAAACGUUGUCCGGAAUUACUGGGCGUAAAGAGCUCGUAGGUGGUUUGUCGCGUUGUUCGUGAAAUCUCACGGCUUAACUGUGAGCGUGCGGGCGAUACGGGCAGACUAGAGUACUGCAGGGGAGACUGGAAUUCCUGGUGUAGCGGUGGAAUGCGCAGAUAUCAGGAGGAACACCGGUGGCGAAGGCGGGUCUCUGGGCAGUAACUGACGCUGAGGAGCGAAAGCGUGGGGAGCGAACAGG
rnacentral:rRNA from 1 species